rnacentral:rRNA from 1 species
UACGGAAGGCAGCAGUGGGGAAUAUUGCACAAUGGGCGAAAGCCUGAUGCAGCUAUGCCGCGUGUAUGAAGAAGGCCUUAGGGUUGUAAAGUACUUUCAUCGGGGAGGAAAAAACAAAACUAAUAAUUUUAUUUCUUGACGUUACCCGAAAAAGAAGCACCGGCUAACUCCGUGCCAGCAGCCGCGGUAAUACGGAGGGUGCUAGCGUUAAUCAGAAUUACUGGGCGUAAAGAGCACGUAGGUGGUUUUUUUAAGUCAGAUGUGAAUCCCUGGGCUUAACCUAGGAACUGCAUUUUGAAACUGAAAUACUAGAGUAUCGUAGAGGGAGGUAGAAUUCUAGGUGUAGCGGUGAAAUGCGUAGAUAUCUGGAGGAAUACCUGUGGCGAAAGCGGCCUCCUAAACGAAUACUGACACUGAGGUGCGAAAGCGUGGGGAGCAAACAGGGAUUAGAAACCCUCUGAGACCGUCACGGACGCAACAACGGGA